CAAGUACUCCCUCCGUCCGGAAUUACUUGUCAUCAAAUUGGAUGUGUCUAGAACUAAAAUACAUCUAGAUACAUCCAUUUCAAUGACAAGUAUUUUCAGAUGGAGGGAGUACAAG
rfam:Triticum aestivum genome assembly, contig: Triticum_aestivum_CS42_TGACv1_scaffold_381025_5AL